AUGAAGACAUAUGGUCCCACUUUAUUCAUGUUUCUAUGGCUGCAGCUGGAUGGGCUGAGCCAAGGUGAACAGGUGGAGCAGCUUCCUUCCACCCUGAGAGUCCAGGAGGGAGACAGCGCUGUCAUCAACUGCACUUACACAGACAGUACCUCAUACUACUUCCUUUGGUAUAAGCAAGGACCUGGAGAGCAUCCUAAGCUCAUUAUUGACAUUCGUUCAAAUGAGGAAAGAAAGCAGGACCAAAGACUGAUAGUUUUACUGGAUAAGAAAGCCAAACACUUCUCCCUGCACAUCACAGACACCCAGCCUGGGGACUCUGCCAUGUACUUCUGUGCUGCAAGUGCACACUGCUCCCCAGACACCUGCAGCCUGUCCUCAAACCUGCCGCAGGGCCUAGAGCCCCAUCCACAUCCUGUGUCACAGGCCUUCCAGUGCAGAAUUUGUCAGUUGCACAUGGUGAUUGUCAUAGAGAACCAGAAUACACUGUGCUGCAGAGAUGAAGAGAAAGCAGAACAUUCAGCCCUGGUUGGACAACUCCUCCACAGGUCAGAGGUCACUGAGGAAGCAGUCGUGGAAAGGAUGUAG